rnacentral:lncRNA from 1 species
CUUGUGUUAUUUGACCAAGGUCAUCUGAUAGCAACCUGAUAAAAGGUCAAGCUGUCUAGUCAUUCAAGUUUUUGGACUUAAUGACCUAUUUCUUCUUAUUCCCAUAGGAAUAAAAUUACCUCCUCGUAUCUCUUGCUUCUUUUUUUUGACAUUGGUAGAUUGGUAGUAACACCACACUGUGUUUUUUUUAGCACCUACCAUGAAAUCUUAAAGCCACCCUACAACAACACCAAGGCCAGACCACACAGAGAGAAACAAUCAAUAGGCGACCAGCCUGGAUUAUUUCCACAUUUUCUUUUUUUGAGUACCUCCAGCUGCUUUCCAACAGUUUUGAGUACCUUCAGCUGCUUUCUACCAGUCUUCCUCUCCUGUACCUCCAGCAGGACAGCUGCUAGCGAGAGUUAGCACCCUUGGGUGCUCAUUACAUCAACUUCAAGAUUAGGAAAGAGUGGUUUGUUUGGGAACAUUUACUGUGCUCUUAUUAAAGACAGACUGGUUUUGUGAUAUUUAGUACAUUUUUUUUUAUAGUUCAAUUGCACACACAAUUUUCCUGCUUUAUAUUUUUUAUAGGUUUUUUUUUCUUUACAACAUAAUAUUUAAUUGAUAGCGUUCCCCAACACUCUGCAAUCUAUAAAGGUAUAAAUUUCUGAGCUCAGAUAUUUUCCCUGAUAAUAGUAGUCGGUACUCUUAUCUUGAUUAUUUUUAGGCUGUGUUCCACUUUUGUAUAAUUAUUUAAACUCAUUCCAUUAUUUUAGUAUAUGUUUAAUUAAAUUUUUAAAAAUUAACUUCACAUAUUAGUCAAAAUUGUAAUUAUUAACUUUAUUUAACUUGAACUUAUUAACUUUACUUAACUUUAACUUAUUAACUUUAUUUAACUUUAACUUUAAUUUAUUAAAUUCAUAUGAACUUCUGGAUUCUAAUCCCUCAGAUUAGUUUUUGGUUUCACUUGUUAUUAUUACUAUUAUAAACCACGAGUUAGGAAAAGGAUCUGUGUAUCCACUCGUAGGUUUAUUUAUUCAAUAAGGCUUGUGCCUGUCCCACUCACAGUGAGGUAUUUAUAUGUUAUAUAUAGUAUCAGGUAGUAUUUAAUUAUUAUAAACGUACAAUUAUUAUUUGGUGAGGGUUCUACUAACCUAGUUGUAAGUUGGGUUCUAGUUUACUGAAUGGGUAGACGGAUUACGGAUAUGAAAUUUAUACCAAUGAAUUCUGUUUCACUUACUGAUAAUUGUACAAUAAUUUUUUAUUGGGGGCGGGCGUUACUUUUCAUGUAAUUGCAAUUUAAAAUAUGUCUUAUUUUUAAAAAUCGCCGCCAUUUUCCGCCAUUAUAUACCAUGAAACAACAAGAAACGACAGGAAUGACAACCGUUUUAUAAAGGCAAGAAGGAGAAUCCUAACAGUGUUGCCAUAGUUAUAUAAAAUAUGUUUUCUUAUGAAAAUUACAAUUUUUCAAUUCUUAAAUAUGUCAUUUUACUUAUUCUGACGCAUUUUUAACACAAAAUGACUGCUUUAUUACAAGGGUCAGGUUAGUUCUGGUUAGGUUUCGUUACGUUAGGUUAGAUUACAUCAAGUUUAUUAAUAUUAUAGUGAUUUAUGAUUAUAUUUUAAUAAAUAAAUUCUGUGGGAUUCCCAGAAUACACUUUCAAGGUUGGAAUGAAAUUUUAUGUAUUUCAUGGUUAUGUACUGUCACUGAUUUCGGGAAACCAUGUUGCCAUGUGAAUGACAAAAGAUAAUUUCACAUGAAAACAUCGAUUUUUGUCCAUUUAAGCGUACCAUUGAUUUGGAAUAUUUAUGCAAACCUCUAAAUUUGGCAACUGUUUUUGAAAAAUUGGUAGAUGCAUGCAUUGACGCAUUUUUUAAACAGUUUAUUGUUAGUUUUUAGUUUGUUAGGUCGGUUGUUUGUGCUGCGCCCUGGAUUUGGGCGUUGUCUGUUGCAUCAUAUACAAAUUUGUGAAAGUGAAGUUAGUUUAUCGGGUUUGGACCGAAGGGUUAGGCCUUCCUCCUUUCAGACCGCCUGCGCCCAAUUGCAAUCUGCCCAGUUUAUCGUUAAAUAAAGGUGAAGUGAGACUAAAUGGUGUGUAGGUGUUACGAAAGUAAAUUUAAGUACAAUUAAGGUGUGGCUUUAAUACCUAUAUUCACAAAGAAAAGGCCUCUUUCGAAGCUAGUAAACUGCAGGCAGAGGAAAUAAAUAUGUUGGUGGCAACUUUUAUUACAUUUAAAGCCACGAAUUUGGCUUUGGACUCUCAAAUUGCAUCGAUCUAUAGCUGUUUUG